rnacentral:rRNA from 1 species
UACGUAGGCAGCGAGCGUUGUUCGGAAUUACUGGGCGUAAAGAGUGUGUAGGCGGUGCUCUAAGUUCGGUGUGAAAUCUCCCGCUUAACUGGGAGGGUGCGCCGGAAACUGGAGUGCUCGAGCGUGGGAGAGGAAAGCGGAAUUCCUGGUGUAGCGGUGAAAUGCGUAGAUAUCAGGAGGAACACCGGUGGUGUAAACGGCUUUCUGGACCAUAACUGACGCUGAGGCACGAAAAGCGUGGGUAGCAAACAGG